UAUUAUUUAAAAGUAAUUAUAAAUACUAAAGUAGUAAUAGUUAUGUUCUUGAAACUUAAAAAAUUUGGCGGUAUUUUAGUCUAUCCAGAGGAACCUGUUUUGUAAUCGAUAAUCCACGAUGGACCUUACUUAAAUUUGUAAUCAGUUUAUAUACCGUCGUUAUCAGAAUAUUUUAUAAGAAUAAUAAUAUUCAGAAAUUUAUAUUAAAAUUUAUAUCAGAUCAAGGUGUAGCUUAUAUUUAAGUAAUAAUGGGUUACAAUAAAAUUAUUUAUACGGAUAAAAUUAUGCAAAAAUUUUUAAAGGUGGAUUUGGUAGUAAAAUUAUAAAGAUUAAUAAUUUGAUUUUAGCUCUAAAAUAUGUACACAUCGCCCGUCGCUCUUAUUAUUAAGGUAAGAUAAGUCGUAACAUAGUAGAUGUACUGGAAAGUGUAUCUAGAAUGA
rnacentral:rRNA from 1 species